rnacentral:rRNA from 1 species
GAUGAACGCUGGCGGCGUGCCUAAUACAUGCAAGUCGAGCGAACGGACGAGAAGCUUGCUUCUCUGAUGUUAGCGGCGGACGGGUGAGUAACACGUGGAUAACCUACCUAUAAGACUGGGAUAACUUCGGGAAACCGGAGCUAAUACCGGAUAAUAUUUUGAACCGCAUGGUUCAAAAGUGAAAGACGGUCUUGCUGUCACUUAUAGAUGGAUCCGCGCUGCAUUAGCUAGUUGGUAAGGUAACGGCUUACCAAGGCAACGAUGCAUAGCCGACCUGAGAGGGUGAUCGGCCACACUGGAACUGAGACACGGUCCAGACUCCUACGGGAGGCAGCAGUAGGGAAUCUUCCGCAAUGGGCGAAAGCCUGACUGAGCAACGCAGCGUGAGUGAUGAAGGUCUUCGGAUCGUAAAACUCUGUUAUUAGGGAAGAACAUAUGUGUAAGUAACUGUGCACAUCUUGACGGUACCUAAUCAGAAAGCCACGGCUAACUACGUG